rnacentral:rRNA from 1 species
ACGAACGCUGGCGGCGUGCCUAAUCCCUGCAAGUAGCACGCUGAAAGAGGAGCUUGCUUCUCUGGAUGAGUUGCGAACGGGUGAGUAACGCGUAGGUAACCUGCCUGGUAGCGGGGGAUAACUAUUGGAAACGAUAGCUAAUACCGCAUAAUAUUGACUAUUGCAUGAUAGUCAGUUGAAAGGUGCAACUGCACCACUACCAGAUGGACCUGCGUUGUAUUAGCUAGUUGGUGGGGUAACGGCCCACCAAGGCGACGAUACAUAGCCGACCUGAGAGGGUGAUCGGCCACACUGGGACUGAGACACGGCCCAGACGCCUACGGGAGGCAGCAGUAGGGAAUCUUCGGCAAUGGACGGAAGUCUGACCGAGCAACGCCGCGUGAGUGAAGAAGGGUUUCGGAUCGUAAAGCUCGGUUGUAAGAGAAGAACGAGUGUGAGAGUGGAAAGCUCACACUGUGACGGUAUCUGACCAGAAAGAGACGGCUAACUACGUG